rnacentral:miRNA from 1 species
UCCCUUCCAGUCAAUAAGGUAUUUGCACCUCAUUGACCAGAAGGAACCCCCUCUGUUUGAUGAGUUGCAGAUACCUCAUUGAUUGGAAGGGA